UUACUCUGGCUUCCCUGCACAUCGAGUAAAUCUUUCGCCUUUUACUAAAGAUUUCCGUGCAGAGGAGCAAUUUAAUGAGUCUAAAUACAAAUUUUUCAAGCCCUACUCUGUAGGGU
rfam:Biomphalaria glabrata isolate BB02 unplaced genomic scaffold LGTN_random_Scaffold649, whole genome shotgun sequence.